rnacentral:rRNA from 1 species
CUACGGGAGGCUCCAGUAGGGAAUCUUCGGCAAUGGACGGAAGUCUGACCGAGCAACGCCGCGUGAGUGAAGAAGGUUUUCGGAUCGUAAAGCUCUGUUGUAAGAGAAGAACGAGUGUGAGAGUGGAAAGUUCACACUGUGACGGUAUCUUACCAGAAAGGGACGGCUAACUACGUGCCAGCAGCCGCGGCAAUACGUAGGUCCCGAGCGUUGUCCGGAUUUAUUGGGCGUAAAGCGGGCGCAGGCGGUUAGAUAAGUCUGAAGUUAAAGGCUGUGGCUUAACCAUAGUACGCUUUGGAAACUGUUUAACUUGAGUGCAGAAGGGGAGAGUGGAAUUCCAUGUGUAGCGGUGAAAUGCGUAGAUAUAUGGAGGAACACCGGUGGCGAAAGCGGCUCUCUGGUCUGUAACUGACGCUGAGGUUCGAAAGCGUGGGGAGCAAACAGGAUUAGAUACCCGCGUAGUC